UAUUGCACUUGUCCCAGCCUGU
rnacentral:ncRNA from 2 species